UGGCAGAUCCAGACUCAAAGCCUUUCUUCUGGAGAUAGCUCAUUUAAAAUAAUAAUAAAGUAAUAUAGAUUUUAGUAGGAAACAUUAUAUGUAGUCAUCACUGUAAAUGAAAAUUCUGUGAUACAUCUGAAGAGGUUCUAUGAGAGAACCUGCAAGAAACAGAAAUUCUUUGGCUGAUAAGCCUCUGCCCCCCAAUAUUGUGUGGACUAUGGAAACCUCCCUGAGAUUCAGUAAUCCAUGAUUAAACUUUAAUGAACACAUGAAUCCCCUGGGGAUCUUGUUAAAAGGCAGAUUCAGAUUCAGCAGGUCUAGGAUGGAGGGAAGAAGACAGGAAGCAGAUUUCCACCUCUACUCUUGAGCCUCCCUCUUAAAUGAUGCUUGGGGCAACAACCCUUCAAAAUUAGGUACCAUUCAGUACCAAUCCCUUUGGUAACCACUGUAAUAACAUUAACAUGAUGAACUAAUGAGA